CGGGUGCGUAACGCGUGGGAAUCUACCUUGUAGUGGGGGAUAGCCCGGAGAAAUCCGGAUUAAUACCGCAUAAUCUCUACGGAGCAAAGUGGGGGAUCUUCGGACCUCACGCUAUUAGAUGAGCCCGCGUUAGAUUAGCUUGUUGGUGAGGUAAUGGCUCACCAAGGCAACGAUCUAUAGCUGGUUUGAGAGGAUGAUCAGCCACACUGGGACUGAGACACGGCCCAG
rnacentral:rRNA from 1 species